UCUCCGUUGGUUAACCAGCGGAGGGAUCAUUAUAGAGUUUUUAAAACUCCCAACCCAUGUUAACUUACCUAUGUUGCCUCGGCGGCAGCCUACCCUGUACCUACCCUGUAAAGGGUUACCCGGGAGCGGCCCCGCCGGUGGACCUUUUAACUCUUGUUAUUUUAUGUAAUCUGAGAGUCUUAUUUUAAAUAAGUCAAAACUUUCAACAACGGAUCUCUUGGUUCUGGCAUCGAUGAAGAACGCAGC
rnacentral:misc_RNA from 1 species